UCCGUGAGCCGGGGCCUUCCCCGCGCAGCGAGUGCGCUGACCGAUUGGGAUGAAACCCCGCAGGCUGGUCGCAGCCUCAGCGGGGGAAUUUUAAUACAUUUCUCUCGUUAAUUUGAAACGGGAACGCAAAUAACUGUAAAAUGUAGUCAUCAUACCGAGUCUCUCGCUCAUUUCGUUUAAUAAUGGAUGGAGGGGGGCAGUACCAAUGCAUAAUUUGGGCACUCAGUACCAAAACAUUUAGGAAUCACUACUUGUAAAGAAUGAGAUGGGAAAUUAUUUCUUUCCUAGACUUCUAGAAUAGGCUAUUGUGCUAAAGAGGUAAAGAAAUGGUAUUAUAAAGCUUCUUUUAAAAGAAGGCAAUUUCCAUGAAGCGACUGGGAUGCCUAUGAGCUGGCCAGUGAACCUCAGUUUGCCGUAGUUGUUGACUUGGAGGCUAGAAGGGGCAGACAUUUACUGUGCAUUUACCAGUGCCAGAUCCUGUGUUAGCCAUUUUACUGCAUAAUGUCUUUAAUUUUUACAAUGACCCUGUGAGGUACGUCUUAUCUCUCUUUUUUUUUAGCAGAUGAAAUCACUUAGGCCAGAGAGAUGCAGUGACUAAUUCAAGGUCACACAGUGUUGAGGAUGGAAUCCAGACCUGAUACAGUUAUUGAUAUGUGAGUGAAUUCCACACCACCCAUUUUACAGAUGAAGCCACUGAGAUACAGAGCAACUGACUAAAUAGUCACCACCCCGCUCCUGGAUCCUCACAUGACACUUCUCCCAGAGCCGCCCAGUAUGUGACGGUGUGAGGCAUGAGGCGCAGCAGGCUGUGAUACAGACUGAUGGUGAUCUCAACUUCUGUGACAGCUUCAGUUACCAUCUAUACGUGGAUGACGACCAAAUCUCUCUCCAGACCAGAAUAUCCAACUGUUCACAUGGACAGCUCCACUGGGAUGUUUUGAAGACUCAGCAAAAUGCAGCCUUCUGCUCUUCCCCUCUUGCUCUUCCUCCAGUGUCCUGUCACGUGGUGAAACAUUGUCUUGUCACUGUAUAACAUGGUAGUUGAGAAUGUGACUCUGGAGCUAGCCUGAUGGGACCUGAAUUCUGACUCAGCCACUUACUAUGUGACCUUGGAUCACUGAGAGAGAAGUCAAGAUGCAGGCCCACUUUGCUUCCUGUAUUAACAUGGGCCUUGUUGAGACCAUUCAGUGAGGUCUUCAUUGCAGUGUAACUCACACUAUCAAAACACCACUGGUAACUCCGGUGUACUGUUUAAGAGGCCCUGUCAUAUCAUCCAAAUAAAACCUGUUGAUGUGUUCCAAGGAAUAAGCCAUGAUGGCGGCAGAGGUAAGAAGUGGAUUUAUUUAGAGAGAAACACACUCCACAGACAGAGUGUGGGUCAUCUCAGAAGGCAAGACUGGCCUUGGGAGAAACACACUCCACAGGCAGAGUAUGGGCCAUCUUAGAAGAGAAUUCAUAAUUGGCAGCAUUGUGAUGGCUUCUUCCUAGUUUCUUCUGUGCAUGUCUCAAGGGUUUCCACAUCUGCAGACGGAAGAGCUUAAUCCUCCAUCAGUAUCCUCCGACAGCACAUUCAGUUGGGGGCAGUGUCUUAUCUUCCGACGUCCGUUCACCCUCAUGCUUCACACAUACUCUGCCACUGAUGGUUUCUUAGACUCUGGCUUUCUUCAGGCCCUUGAUAUCAACCAGUUACCCUUUGGUAAGAGAUUAAGCCAUUCCACUACUCUCCCAGAGGCAUUUGCAUUUAGAACUACAGGUAUAAUAGAAAUAAUGGAAGAUGUUGCAUUCCUGAGGGAAGGCGAUCCUGGAAUGAAUUAUUCAUUUGCUCAUUCUAGAACGUCCCAUCCUUCUGCCCUGCCACCCCCUCUCUCUAUUCCUGCUCGUGCCUUGGUAAACCCUACUUCCUCCAAGAAGACUUCCCCGACUCCUGUCCCUUCCAGGUGAGGCCAGUUUUAGGGCUCUGAACAGAUUCCAUUUGGCUUCCCAGUUGAGGGUGGAGGUGGCAGGGAUGGAUCUCAGGAAGAUGUAGCUGCAGGAUGGAUGUGCAUUAGGUCUCUGCAUUUCAAACUUCCAGUGAAAAAUAUAUCUUAUGUCCCAACUACCGCACACACCUACAUACAGAUAUAUAAAACUGAAACAAAAAUUUUGUAAAAAUAACACUCACUACGUGUGAUGCAUUUGGAUAUUUUCUGUUCUAUUUAUUUUUUAAAGGAAAAUGCUGGUUAUAACCCAUUGAACUGAUUUCACAGCCCAGUAAUGGGUCACAACCCACAGGGUGAAAAAUGCAGAGUGAGAUCAUUACUGCUCAGAACAACUCUGAACACAGCCAAGGGGCCCUGUGCCGAUGUUGCCCUUUGGGUGCCUCGACGAGCUUGCAGAUGAUGGCACUGGCAGCGGUGUGGUCCACCUGGUGGUGCUCUGCUUUCUCCGUGGAGUCUCCUUUCAGGGCCCCAGUUGGUUGUGCCAUGAAGUGGCCACAGAUGCUUUCUCCGUGCUGUGGAAGGAGGUUGAAGUCUAUAAAGCACUCCAUACACCCCUCAGAAAGAUGCUGGCUCAGUGUGAAGUGUCACAAGGCUGUAUACCUCAUCCCAUUUGAUGAGGCUCCUCAUGGAGACAAAGCUUCCAGGCCCCGUGGGGCUCACUGGUGCUGCUCACCUGGGAGGGCUAAUGGAUAACAAAUAGAAUAAAAGCAAAACAGGGAGCUCUUGCCUGCAGCGUAACAGUGACAGAAACAUCUUCCUGGUUAGAGGAUGGAUGAUAAAUAUACGUAAGGAACAUUCCAGGGGGCAGUGAGUCUUGAGCCCCAUCUCCCUUUGGAACUGGAAGUUACUGAAAACCGAACCCACAGAAAUAGCUACCUCAAAACCCCUGCAUUUAUCCCUCUGAGAUCCUCAAAGCCUGUUGACAUUUACUUAGUACACUUUUCUAAGAAAAGUGGCUAUCUGGUGUCUCAACCCACUGCAGAAGAAAAUUGCCUGGAAGGGUGGUAGUAGGUCUUUUCCAGAGAGAGACAUGUAGAUAACAGGAAAGUAAAAGCCAUGGGGAAGGAUAGAGAAACAGUAAGAAGGGGACACAAUCAUGUUAUUAUCUAGUUCCUUAGGGAAUGUUCCUAAUGACCACUUAUGUGGGGAAAGGACAUUUUUUAAAGCAUUAGAGAGCAGUGGACCACAUUUUAGCAAGAUUUCACUUUAAAGUGGUUGGGCAUUGAAGUUUCACUUUUCAGAAAAAGUGUUCAUGAGAACCUCAGUGAUUCUGCAUAAAUUAGGUGCUGUUGAACUGCCCCUGAUUAGGACUAGUCAUGGGUUUGAGGCAUGCUGUAAUCUCAGGUUCACGGGCAAGUCCUCCCCACCCAGCCCUAGUCAGCCUCAUAGCCUGAAACCCCUCCAUUACUGUUACUGUUGGGUUCCGUUGUUCACCUGUGUGAAUUUGUGAAUAAAUUCUUUCCAAUCUGAAAGCUUCUUGAUAGUGGCUUCCGGAUAUUCUGAAGGUAGAUGUAGAGAGAGAACUCUGAUCUGGACCCCACCUGAGGAUGGGGUGGCCUAAAUGACCAGAGAGCAGGACAAAACCACUGGGAUUUGGACUGUGGUGAGCUUUUAGGGAGGAGUGGGGGGCAGGCUUGGAAGCCAAGUUCCACCCUUUUCACUGCUUUCACUACUUGAGGACAGCCCACUCACUGAGACGGAGCCAGGCCUCUGUUUCUUCCAUAGCCUGUCCCCUCGUGGCUCACUGGCCACCUGAUCCCCAGAUCUGCUUCUGUGAGUUACCCUGAGUGACUGCAGGGGUGCUCCAAUAAGUAAGGGGACCUCAAAGAAAAGCCAGCUGUUUCUGAGACAAAGAUCAUUUAUUCCAUAUCGUCUGAGAAAGCAACCUUUAAGUAGAAGGCAGUGGGGUUGGUGGUGUGCCACACCACCAGGAGGUUUCUGUCUUAACAGUAGAUUGCUACAUAGUGUGCGUGCAUAAUACAUUACAAUUCUAGUACUGAUAUUUCCAAAUGCCCUGUGACUACAAAACGAUGAAAUUUCUCCCCGGGGGAGAAUGACAACAAUAAACUAAAGUAACAAUACCAAAAGUCUCUGAAAAGAUCUCAGGGGUUUGCGGGACUCCGGUGGUGGCGCAGUGGUUAAGAAUCCGCCUGCCAGUGCAGGAGACAUGGUUUGGGCCCUGGUCUGGGAAGAUCCCACAUUCCACGGAGCAAGUAGGCUCGUGUGCCACAACUACUGAGCCUGUGCUCUAUAGCCCAUGAGCCACAACUACUGAGCCUGUGCGCCUAGAGCCCGUGCUCCUCAAGAAGAGAAGCCACCGCAAUGAGAAGCCAGUGCACCGCAACGAAGAGUAGCCCCCGCUUGCCACAGCUAGAGAAAACCCGUGCGCAGCAACGAAGACCCGAUGCAUCCAAAAAUAAAAAUAAGUUAAUUAAAAAAAAAAGAUUUCAGGGGCUUUGGCCAGAAAUGAAUUGGGGCUUGGUGUGGUGGUUCUGAGAAGCUGCCUAAUGGAAUUCUUUUUUUUUUUGGUAGGAAUAUAAUGUGAAGGGUAGAGAAAAACCACUCGAGCUUAAGCACUCUAACUAGUGGAAAUUAGAUUCUGAUGAUGAAAUCAGAAAUGAUUUUAACAGGGAGAAGAAAGGGCAUCAGCAAAAGAAGACCAACGAGCUUAGAUUUUCAAUGAACCUACUGUUUUCUCACAUGUACACGGGCUACCUGGUGUGUGAUACACCCAUGUCAGAACGUCCAGAAGGAGCAAAGUCCAGAAUUAGAAAAGAUUGUAAAGGAAUCCCAACCAGCACAAAGGUUGCUUGUCUGCUUCCUUAUUGAAGUCAAGAGGAGGAACAAGGCAGACAGGCCUUCUGCUGGGGGGAAGCACAGACUAUUCAUGUCAGAGAGAAAAAAAGGGGGCCCAAUUCCCAUUUGCUUCCAACUCUGCCUCCCUUGAGAAUAGCCCCCAAACUGAGGAGAAAAAGUAACAUCAUAUGGAAUGAAAUGAGGCUCCCGACAGUAGAGGAGAUGUUAGUGGAACCCUCUUCCCGGGGGCAAAGACCGCUGUCACAUUUCCCAUCUAGGCUGACUCACGUCCCUGAAUCAGUGCUUCCAGGGAGAGGCGGCCUAACUAGAGACAGAUCCAUUUAUUAGUCCUAGAUUUCAACAUAGAUAAGGAAACUGAAACCUGUCCUUUUCAGCAAUUUUUAACAUUUAAAUCAAUAAAGACCCACUAGGUAGGCUUCUCUAAGCUAAAGAUGACGUAGCUCUGGGAGGGACAAGUAAAUGGCUUUGGGGUGACAAAGUCAGGAUUUGAAAGUCUUAUCAGGGUGGAAAAAGAGGAAAUUUUAUAAGGGAAAAUUUAAUAUAUUUGGGUUCAACAAAUUUAAUCAUCCAAGUGCGUAAUGGGGGUGCCUGAGAUGGGCUUGUGGAGGGGCCUGAGGGGCUGGUUUUCCACAGGCUCCUUGUGGACCAGGAGUGUGGGGCUCAAGAGAGCCCAGGCACACACCGGAGGUGCCAACCCAGAACAAAGGAGGGGGUGCAGCCCAUUUCCACUCCCUGCUCCUUAGGACACGUGGAUGUCCAGUGUGGAGUGCAGGCUUCUGGAGACUAACAAAGAAGGAAACAUUCAGGGCAGGCCAUCAGGUUGGAGAGGGUCUGGGGACAGAGCAGUGGGUGAUGUGGCAAGGAACAUCAGCUUUGGGAAGAGAGGUGAGUCCAAAUACCCGAAGAGUCUCCUGAGAGUGAAAGGGGAAAAUUCUGUAUGUCCAGAGGGCGGCCCAAGUUAGAGGGAAGUAGGCCUAGGUUCUGCUUGAGGAAGACGCACUGUGUCUUCCCUGUCAAUGGAGGGUUUGUAUGGCCUUUGGAUGGCCUCCCUGCCAGGGACAUCUCAGAGGGGAUGCCUAGCGAGGUGGCAUGAGGAUUCUAAAGUUCCUUCCCAAGAUGCUCCCUCUGCCAUGGACGAGGAGUCCGCAGAGAGCACCUUUGCCCAGGCACUUUGGAGUAAGUAGCUGUACAAGGGCAAACUGAGGCUCCGGGUCCAAGUCCUGCUUUGGUCGCUUUGUGUGUUACCUUUGACUAGUUAUUCUCUGCAUCUUGGUCCCUUCAUUAAAAAUAUGGAUCAUGGCAAUAGUACACUCCUACCAGGACUUCUGUGAAGUUUAAUUGAGUUAAAGAGAGGCAUUUAGAACUAUUCCACAGCCUUGGUAAGGGCUGUGUACCAGAUGGCUUCAGUGAUGGUCAUCCACUCAUUGUCACCACCACCGCCACCUCCGCUGAUUCAUCACACAGUGCUGGAGGAGUAGAGAUGAGCAGGUUGGCUCCCUGCCUUCAACAAGUCAAAGGCCAGUGUGGAAGGUGGAGGAGUGUCGCAUGUGGGGAUGGGGUUUGGGGGAGCCCAGGGCACGGCCACUGGCGGAAGGCUUGUGGGGCGGGGUGGCAGUCCAAGGCCUCCUUCCUCUGAGACCAGCUCCUGAAACCAUGGCUUGGCUCCACAGCAUUUCCAGGCAUCCCAGGGCUGCUGUCUCGUCAGUCCAGUGCUCUCCCUGGCUGUUUGCUCUGGGGGUGGCUAUGCACGAGGUGCCCCUUCUGCACCCCACCAAGUGCUAGGACUGGCCAGGCUGGCUUGGCAGGUCCAAGGGUAUAGGAGUGCCACAGGGCCCCCCGGCACAGCUGGGGCCCGCAGACCCUAUUCCUGAGCUGUAGGGCCCCAAACGCUAAAGCUCUCUGAGUGCCUCCUCUGUGCCUGGCACUGUGCUGGGUGUCCUCCUGCAGAGUCAUGGCACGUCAUAUGCCGGGAGACAGGUGGUAUCAGUCAUCCCCAUUUUACAGCUAAGUAAACAGGCUGCGACAUUAAGUGUCUUGUAAAGGGCAGGGCCAGGACUUGGACCGAAGAUUUCCAAGGCCAAAAUUGGGUGCCAUUUCCAUACCCCACCAGAGGUGACUCAGCCGAGAGCCCAGCCCUCGGGAGGAGUUGGAGCCAGAGGUCUGAUAGCUGACUGCUCCAGCCCCGGGGAAGGGCCAGAAGGGCUCUGAGAGCCCUACCCUUCCAGGCCUGUCUCCUGCUCCCCGAAUCCCUGCCUCCUCAUGAGAUCCCCCUCACGAAGCCAGCGCCCGCCUGGGAAGUGCUCAGGGGACCCCGUCUUGCAAAGUGGUCCCUGCCUGCUCACUCUUCAUGCAAACAUCUCUCAACCAGUGGUCAUUUUGAAAAAGGAAGGCAGUGGUUUAGGGAAAAAACAUGUUUUUAAGUAGUGGUGGCCUUUUUUUUCCCCUAAAGACUUUUUUUUUGAAGAACAGUUUCAGGUUCACAACAAAAUUAAGAGGAAGGGUUCCCAUGUAUCCCCCACCUCCACACACACACAGCCUCCCCCAGCUUCAGCACCCCCCGCUGGGUCCAUGUGUUUGUUACAACUGAUGAAUCUAUGUGGUGGCCUUUUCCCAGAGUUUUAUCUGAACUUGCUUGAAAUUGAAAACACAUAUUCUGUGUGAAGAGAAUGUGUGGGAACCUGUGCCCGCCCUCCUGCCUCUUGACCCCCUUCUACCACCCCACCCAGAUUCUGCAGAACCCGGAUGUAGUUUACUCUGCAGAACCCGGAUGUAGUUUUACUCUGAGUUUACUCCCCUGCUCUGAGGUGGGGAGAGUUAGCGCUACUCUUUGUUAAGGAGCUCUUCCCCAGAUUGUGCCUCUAGAACCUAAGUUCCAUGUGGCAGGUUUUUAAAAAAAUUAUGCAAAAGAUACACAACACAAAAUUGACCAUUUUAACCAUUUUUGAGUGUACAAUUCAGUGGCAUUAAGUACAUUCAUAUUGUUCUGCAACCAUCACCACCAUCCGUUUCCAGAACUUUUGUUGUUGUUGUUUUUUUAACAUCUUUAUUGGAGUAUAAUUGCUUUACAAUGGUGUGCCAGUUUCUGCUUUAUAACAAAGUGAAUCAGCUAUACAUAUACAUAUGUUCCCAUAUCUCUUCCCUCUUGCAUCUCCCUCCCUCCCACCCUCCCUAUCCCACCCCUCUAGGUGGACACAAAACACCGAGCUGAUCUCCCUGUGCUAUGUGGCUGCUUCCCACUAGCUAUCUAUUUUACGUUCGGUAGUGUAUAUAUGUCCAUGCCACUCUCUCACUUCAUCCCAGCUUACCCUUCCCCCUCCCCGUGUCCUCAAGUCCAUUCUCUACGUCUGCAUCUUUAUUCCUGUCCUGCCCCUAGGUUCUUCAGAACCAUUUUUUUCCAGAAAUUUUUUAUUAUCCCAAACUGAAUCUCUCUACCCAUUAAACAAUAACUCCCUCUCUUCUCUUCCCCCAGAUUCUGGUAACCACCAUCCUACUCUGUCUCUAUGAAUUUGUCUAUUCUAGGUAGACCUAUUCUGGGUCUGUUCUCAUAAGUGGAAUCAUACAAUAUUUGUCUUUUUGUGUCUGGCUUAUUUCACUUAGCAUAUUGUCUUCAAGGUUCAUCCAUGUGGUAGCAUGUGUCAGAAUUUCCUUCCUUUUUAAGGUUGAGUGAUAUUCCAUUGUAGGUAUAUGCCAUGUAAUUCUAUGUUUAAUUUUUUGAGGAACCGUCAUACCAUUUUCCACAAAGGAUGCACGAUCUUAUAUUCCCACCAGCAAUGUACAAGGGUUCCAGUUUCCCUAUGUUCUUGCCAUCGUGGCAGGGGGUUUUUGUUUGUUUUGUUUGUUUGUUUUGUUUUUUCUGGCUGCACCGCCCGGGAUGUGGGAUCUUAGUUCCCCAAACAAGGAUUGAACCCGUGCCCCCUGCAUUCGGAGUGCAGAGUCUUAACCACUGGACUGCCAGGGAAGUUCCAGGGCUUUUUAAUCUCUUGUUCAUGGGACAGACACUAGAACAGUGCCCAGCACAUAGUAGGUACUCAAUAAAUAUUUGUUGGGUCAGAUGAAUCGGCGGCUUUGGUCUCUAGGCAGCUGUACCAGGGAGCCCUUGUACCUGUCAGCAGAACCUUCCCCUUCUAGUCCCUGCUCGGCUCUAAGAGAAUCACCCUUUUGAUGGGGUAAGUCAUCUACAGGUGCUCACUGGUGUCAAGAGAAAUGGUAGUACUGUGGAGUUCAGGGAAUCGAACAUGCUGGCUAGCAUAGGAGUGUUUUUAAACUGUGGGUCUCGACCCAUUUGUGGCUCGUGAAACCAGUUUUUAGUGGUUAAAAGCAUUUAUUAAAAAUGAAAUCGAAUAAAAAUAUUAGGGCAUACUACAUGGAAGAAAGAGUAAGUAUCAUUUACCUGUAUCAUCUGUGAAACUUGUUUUUUUGCCUAAUGUUUGUGUGCAUGUGUAAUAGAUCACCAAAAGUUUGAAAAACACUUUUGUUUAGGGUCUGCAGCCUCUGCCUGAAGAAUUCUCAUAGCAGGCAGCUUACUACCUCACAAGGAAGCCCACACCAUUUGGGGGUCUGCUGUAAUAUUGGAACAUUCCUCAAUGAUCAGAAACCUUUGCUUUGGAGCCCUGCUCUGUGCUGGGACCUGUAAUGGGCACUGUUAGCUAAACUGCCCCCACUACUACCUAUCCCGUGUGGGAAGCAGCCCAGCUCUGAGGUCCUGCCUGCAGGGCAGAGCCUUCUGCACUGUGUCUUUUGAUUGGGAUUCAUAUUAGACACACUGUUUUUCUCCAGUGAAGGCAUCUGCAUAUGGGGACAUCUGUGUCCCAUUUGACAGGCAGGCAGGCCUCCCUUGGUUCCUAGACAGAUCUAGUCUAGGAUGACUGCUUCCUUGUCUGAGGUGUCCUCUGGGCUCCCCACAUCUAAUUUACUGCAUGCCCCAUAGUCCACAUUUUAAGUCUGGCCAUCCCACACUUCCCCUCCAAGUCUGAUGAAAAAUCCACCCACCAUUAUUGUGCAAUGCUGAGGCAGAUAAGGAGAAACAAAUGUACUUAUAGAUUUAUAUUUCUUAUUUCUUCAUCACUUCUGGGGUUAUGUUACGAGCCACACCAUGCCCAGGCCUGGGUUCCGUGUUCACCUCUCCUGCAUCUCUCCUACUUGUGACACAAGUCUUGUUGCUUAAUUUUCUUCUCCUACUAGUGGAGGAGGCUCUUAUCUCUCAGAGGGCAGUAACUGUUGCAUUCAUCUUUCUGUCCUUGGAACUCGCACAUGAAGUUUGUGCUCCAUAUGUAUUUGUUGACUAGAUGGAUGUAUGAACUUUAAAAUCCUUGAGAGUAGAGACUCAGUCAUUCCCUUUCUUACUAAUUCCACAUCUCAGUCCAGCCCAGGCCUGAGCCCAUAAUAAGGCUGAUAGUUUGGCCAAUUGAUGGGAGUGCUGGAGAGUCAACAGGAAAAGUUUCCCAGGUCCAACUGGAUUUUGAUUCUCAAGGAAAUAAAGAAACCCAGAGGCUAGAUUCUCCCAAAUACCUGGAGUGCCUGUCACUGAGAGGCCAGACCCUAUCACUUGCGAACCAUGAUCCUGGGCAGUGAGAAAGUGGUAUGGUGAGGUGGGAAGAACUUGGAUAAUGAAACAAGAGAGGGACUUUAUGUGGACCAAUGGUGAUCAAGUGCCAGGAACUGAGGAGUUUGGUUAACUCAGCUCUCUGCCCCAAGGUCCAAGUCUAAAAGAGACAGAGAGGGAAGGAAGGAAGAAAGGAGAGCGAGAGAACAAGAGACUGUGCCUAGACUUGGAAGCUAGAUCAAACUGGACCUGAAUCCCCUUUCCAUCUCCUUUAAUUAUGGAACUGUAGACAUGGUAUUAAUCCGCUGAGUCCUGGUUUCUGCUUCUAUGGAAAGAGAGUUAGAUAAUACAUGUGACAGGCCCCCUCACUGUUCCUGGCACAUGGUAGAUAAUCAGUAAAUAAUGGGAAUUUUUACUACCAUUGCAUCAUGUUUGGCAUACCUUAUCAGUGUAGGUCCAGCUGAUACAAGCCAAAAGAGGUCAUUUAUUAGCAGAAUCCUAGCUCACCACCUUGAAGAAAGGGUUGACCUUGAGGCCUCAGGAAGUCCAGGAAAAUUGGACCUAGGCUCUCAGGAACAGGAAGGCUGCCUUUGGACAGAAGUAGUGCCAGCCUCCUUGUGUGAUCUCCAGACAGAGUCUCAUGGGCAGGUUUGGAUACUGUGCUGACAGUCCCACUGGGAAUUGAGGGAGAUGGAGGUCUCCCUCAGAAAAGUGAGACGCUGUAUCCAGAAGAAGGGAGGGGGAGAUGGCUAGACGGGCAGAACUGUUGACCCUGACACAUGAGUUUCCCCUCCACUCCCACCUUCUACCUGAAACCUGGUGAUCGGGUAGCCCACUGGGUAAAUUUUCAAGUAUACUUUUUCGAAACUGAAUCUUCUUUUUACUUUAUACUUGGCCCCGUCCCGUGUUCUUAGGAAGGCUACCAGAGACCUUGGGUUUCCAGCAGAACAAGAGGCUCAACUGACACGGACUGAGGACACAAGUACUGACAUUGCCGAGCGUCCUUAAGUGCCGAGUCCUCCACAGGGCUGUGGGGGGAAGGGUUUGGGGGAGGGACCCAUCGCGAGCUUUGCCAGCCCUUUCUGUUCCUCUUCUCUCCCCU